rnacentral:lncRNA from 1 species
UGUCAUGAUAACAGCAUAGGGGAAACCAACCCUACUAUUCCAAUACCCCCACUUGGUGUUCCCCUUGACAUGUGGGGAUUAUGGAGAUUAUGGGCAUUACAAUUCAGGAUGAGAUUUGGGUGGGGAAACACACCCUAACCAUAUCAUCUUAACUAUGAAUUUUUUUUAUACUUCUCUUAAAAGUUUGGCAGUUUAGCUUUUAUAUUGCUCUAAUUAUCUAUUGCUGCAUAACAAAAUGUACCACAAUUUAGAAGCUUAAAACAACAACCAUGUUUAUUUGGCUCAUAAAUCUGCAUUUAAGCUGAGUUUGGUAAGCACUGCUUGUCUUUGUUCUACUCAAUGGCAGUUAGGGCACCUGGAAUGGCAGUUAGGGCAACUGGAAGGCUGGGAGCUGAAAUCACCUGAAGUCUCAUUCACUCACAUGUCUGAUGGUUGAUAUUGUCUAUCAGAUUCUUUUUUGUCUCCUUCUCUGCAAGAGGCUGGCACCAGAUCACCUCCUGAGUAGAGCAGACAUUCCAAAGGAUGUCCUGCCAACAAUAAUGGAAAGCUGGAUACAACUGAAUAUGUAAAAUGG